AUACAUAGGGGGCAAGCGUUAUCCGGAAUUAUUGGGCGUAAAGGGUGCGUAGGCGGCCAUUUAAGUUUGAGGUGUAAGUUCAAGGCUCAACCUUGUGAUGCUUCAAAAACUGGAUGGCUUGAGAGAGGUAGAGGAAAGUGGAAUUCCAUGUGUAGCGGUAAAAUGCGUAAAUAUAUGGAGGAACACCAGUGGCGAAGGCGGCUUGCUGGGCCUUAUCGGACGCUGAGGCACGAAAGCGUGGGGAGCAAACAGGAUUAGAUACCCUGGUAGUCCACGCCGUAAACGAUGAGUACUAAGUGUCGGGAGAACCCGGUGCUGCAGUUAACGCAUUAAGUACUCCGCCUGAGUAGUACGUGCGCAAGCAUAAAACUCAAAUGAAUUGACGGGG
rnacentral:rRNA from 1 species